GCUAACAGAAGAGUCUCUGGUGAAAGGAAGUGGAGCAUGUGCUUCUUUCUGGACCAGCCCACAGUGCCAGCUGAGUUAAUGCUGACUUGGGGAAAAAACUCUGCUUGGAAAGGAACAGCUUCUGGGGCUGAGUCUGAGGUGGCUGAGGGCCCAGCUUAACUCCUCCUCAGACCAAAACGCUUGAAUGAGGGACCCUGCCUUGACCUGGUGCCUCGCUGCCAGGCUAGCGGCUGUGCCACACUCAUGCUGGUGAGGCAAGGCUUCAGGCACAUUUCUAGUAAAUCUUCAUUAUCUGAGCUGCAUCCCGCAGGAAAACCUUCCCUGAAGAUCACAGUCAGUUUAAAUUAUUGACUACAAUCAAAGCAGCAGCAAGAAGCCUUUGUUUAAAUCAUCAGCUUUCACCUUGUUUUGCAUGUGCUCAGGAGUGGAGGAGGACUCUUGUGUAUUACUGGACCAAUUGCUACCUGAAGACUGGAGAUCUACAGGAAUGCAGAGAGAGGGCUCCUCACAGCUCUGGUUUUACAUGAGGUGCCCAUGCUCUGCUCUCUACCCAUGGCAGCACAAGUCACACAGUUUCUAAGGAGAUUCAAGUGGGAACACCUUCCACCAAAGCUUAACAAAAACCUUUCUGUGGCAUGGCAAAGCCAUUGAAGCAUUAUUAUUGUAAGCAAACUUGCAGUAAUCUGCAGGAGAAAUUACACUGCCGGGCUAUGUCUUACUAGCAAGUUUUGCUGCCAGAACUUUUGUGGGGUCAUGAGUUGCUGACAUUUUUAUGGCCCUGGAGCGUGUGUGUUCAUUACCUCUUUUCUGAGGUGCUGCAUGCCCUUGCUGAAAGAGGCUGUAACAGCAGAAGGGCUGCCGCACACGGGGUAAGGAUCCAGGGCUUGCAGCUGCCAACACCACUGCGUCCUUGGAGCAUGUAGGCAGUGGCAUUUUGCUAGUAACUAUAUGUUGGCUUGUGUUGUUCAGAGGGGAGAUUCCACUUCAGGAGGACAGGCUGAAUUUUGUUGGCUUACAUCAACUUAGUACGAGAAUGCCUAGCAACUUGGGGCAACAAAUGUUGGCUUCUGACAGCGUGUCCCACGCAAGCACGCCCUACCAACCCACUGCUGGCAGACGUUCUGCUCUUCACUGAUGUUGCUCUUGGUACCUGAAAACACAAGCCUCUGACACAGCAGCAGAAAAGCUAGCAGAACUGUAAAGACUAGCUGACGCUAGGUGCCUGCUGUCUUUCUUUCACAAUGUCCCUACCUUUUUCUCCAUUCUAUGCACUAUUAGGAUGUAUUUAUUUGCUGCCAGGCUGCAUAAAUGGAAAGAUGUACAAGUCAGGGUCAAGCUUGAAAACUUCUUCCUAGGAAGAACUGAAAAAACAGCGCUUCUUGGAAACCUAGGGAUAUUUCUUUUCAGCUCCUUUAACUGAAAGAGGAAAUAAAAGCUGAAGUUUGCAUUAA